rnacentral:rRNA from 1 species
AUUGAACGCUGGCGGCAUGCCUUACACAUGCAAGUCGAACGGUAACGGGCCUUCGGGUGCCGACGAGUGGCGCACGGGUGAGUAAUACAUCGGAACGUGCCCGAUCGUGGGGGAUAACGAGGCGAAAGCUUUGCUAAUACCGCAUACGAUCUACGGAUGAAAGCAGGGGACCGCAAGGCCUUGCGCGGGCGGAGCGGCCGAUGGCAGAUUAGGUAGGUGGUGGGAUAAAAGCUUACCAAGCCGACGAUCUGUAGCUGGUCUGAGAGGAUGAUCAGCCACACUGGGACUGAGACACGGCCCAGACUCCUACGGGAGGCAGCAGUGGGGAAUUUUGGACAAUGGGCGCAAGCCUGAUCCAGCCAUGCCGCGUGCAGGAUGAAGGCCUUCGGGUUGUAAACUGCUUUUGUACGGAACGAAAAGCCUUCUUUUAAUACAGGAGGGUCAUGACGGUACCGUAAGAAUAAGCACCGGCUAACUACGUG